AAGAAAAGUGUUACCAAUAUUUGUUGUGAAAGAAAUACAGUUACAAUUUCAAGCAUUUUCAAGCAUUUUAUCCAAAAUGCAAGCACUUUUCAAACCUUGAAAACACAACUUCAAAAUUCAAGCAUUUUCAAGGAUUUCAAGCACCCGUACGAA